AUAGUCUCGUGGUGCGCCGUUUCUUAAGCCGGUCUGAAAAGCGCAAUAUUCGGGUGGGAGUGACCCGAUUUUCCAGGUGCGUCCGUCACCCCUUUCUUUGACUUGGAAAGGGAACUCCCUGACCCCUUGCGCUUCCCAGGUGAGGCAAUGCCUCGCCCUGCUUCGGCUCCCGCACGGUGCGCACACACACUGGCCUGCGCCCACUGUCUGGCACUCCCUAGUGAGAUGAACCCGGUACCUCAGAUGGAAAUGCAGAAAUCACCCGUCUUCUGCGUCGCUCACGCUGGGAGCUGUAGACCGGAGCUGUUCCUAUUCGGCCAUCUUGGCUCAAGACCCCAGUUUUGAUACAUUUAUAAGGCUAGCGACAAGUGGUACAACCUGUGAUGCUGGGCAGCAGCAGAGAACUACAGCUCCCAGUCAGCCACAUGAUCACAAGGAUAAACAACUGAUACUCUGCAGUGUGAUGUGCUGCCAGGUGAUUUUGCCCAAUUGUGGGCUAAUGGCUGCUGGAAUUUAUGAUCUCCUACCAAAACUGAAGUAACUGUAACUCUUACUAUGGGGAACUUUGAAAAAGAGGUAAAAAGGAAAAUAAAAAUAAGAUAGCUUCUAGUCUGUUGAAAUUGCAACAAGCAACUGGCCGAAUGAAACAUUGCUUUUAAUCCCAGAAAAUCAGUUUCAGGGAGUUUCUGUGAUAUAUUAUGCUUCUAAUGCUUUAUGACAUAACAUGCCCACAUUCCUCUGUUUAAUUCAAUGGAUAUUUUUUAGCCAACUGCUACAAGAUCAAGCCAAAGACUUAUUCCAGCUCCUACUAGACUCCAGUGUAAGUGGUUGAAAGCCUGUGGCCUCCAAAACCACAGUUGACAUCUCAAGGAUUCAAAUACUUCCAGUAUUCAUGGAGCUUCAUGCGUUCUGUCUGUAAAAUCUAAUUUCUCAAAAUUUAUCAUCCAUGUGUUAACAUCUUAAUGAAAAUUAGGUAAAAGAUAACUUUUUCAAUAGUACAUUUUGGGCUAUGUGGACACACCUCCUGAGAAAUGGAAAUUCAGUCAAGUGGGGAGAUUUUCAUUUAAAACGUCUAAUUUCAGUCUAGCAAGAUACUAUCUGUGGCAAAGGAACAGCAAUUUUAAGAUCAAAUUGCUUAUUGCCUUUGAAGGUUAAAAGGGGCCAAACUUUUGUGAUCAAAAAGGAUCAUAGUAAAUGAUAAUGGAAAGAUGGUCAAGAUCAUAUUUUUAAAAAUUUUUGGUAAGGAUUCUUCAGUCUUAACAACUCUAAUGUUUAAUAAUUAUUAUGAUAAAUUUUUACUAUUUUCUAACUCUUUAAGCAAGAGAUGGGAUCAAAAUGACAGAGUAAGAAUUCAUAGAAGCACCCCUAUCCCACCCCAAACCCAUACAAACAACAGAAACAUGUUUGAAAUAUAAAGAAAUUCACAAAGCUAGUGGAAAACAAGGCAUGACCUAAGUGAACAAGAAAGUAUAAAAAAAACUUUUUUAGAUUUUGACUUAAUAUAUAAAUACAUAUUUUUACAGAUGGGGUCUUGUUAUGUUGCUCAGGCUGAACUUGAACUCCUGGGCUCAAAUGAUCCUGCUGGACUCAGCCUCCCCAGUAGCUGGGACUACAGACACAUGUCACCAUGCCCAGCAAAAAUUAUUUAAAUGACAGAAUGCCAAAAGGCUAAAAACAAUUUUAAAUAAAAACAGUGGCGAACAGCCCCAAGAUAGCUGCAAGAUUUUGGGGGAGUAGGGUACACUGCCAAUUAGAGGAGUAGAGGUGGCCCACAGGCUAUGGGUGGUUGAAUACCAGUGUGCUCCAAAAAAGGGGAGAAAAGAGAGUUUAAAAGAAAAACAGACAGACCUAGAGGAUAGGUAGAAAUCCUUAAACACAUAAGUAAUAAUAGUAGUUCACAAAACAGAGAAUAGAUACAGCAGACUGGAGGGAAUGCUUCAGUAAAUUAUAACUGAAUAUUUCUCAAACCUAAAUAAAAGCAUUAGCCCUCACAAUCAAAGGAAUGAGGGAUUUUAGAGGAAAAUAAGCAGACACAGAUCAGUUAAUAUUAGAAUUAAACUGAAUUGUCAAUAAUAUUUGAUACAAGAAGAUGGUGGGACUAUAUAUUUAAGGUCCUGAAAUAUACCACUUUGAACUUAAAAUUCUCUUUUCUUUUUUUAAAAUUGAUAUAUCAGAGUUGUACCUAUUUUGGGGGUAUAUGUGACUCUUUUUAUACAUGUAUAUAAUGUGUAAUGAUGAAGUCAGGGUAAUUGGGAUAUCUAUCACAUCAAACAUUAAUCUUUUAUGUGUUGGAAAAAAUACAGUUUUUCUCUUCUAGUUAUUUUGAAAUAUGCAAUAAACUAUUAACUAUAAUUUCCCUACUGCACUAUCGAAUAUUAAAACUUUUUCCUUCUAUCUAACCAUAUUUUUGUACCCAUUAACCAACUUCUUUUCAUCCUCCAAAACCGAAAAUGCUUUACUCCCAAGCUAUAAUUCAUAUUUUAAAAGCAAAAUAAAGACAUUUUCAAGUAUGUGGGAUUCUAAGUCUAUUACUGUCAGACACUAUCUGAAAGAAUCACUACAGGAGGUAUUAAAGUAUAAUAAAAAAAUGAAUACAAGAGGAAGACCAAGCAAAGAUGUAAUGGUGAGCAAAGAAACAGUAAGAUGUAUGAUAAAGUACCAAUAAGUAUGCAUUGUAAUUUUUUAAAUUCCAGUAACAAUUUAGAAUUUAAAUCACAGGUGCUAUCAACAGGAGAAGUGUCAAAAAAAAAGAAGAAGAAAUUAAAGUGUUCUAAGAUUCUGGUCUUGUUCUCGGGAGAAUAUAACUCAUAGCAUGCUGAGAAUACAAAGUAAGAAACAUUCUUGACUCAAUAAAUGGAAGCUGCAAGAACUGCACAGCAUAGUGACCACAGUUAAUAGUAAUGUAUUGUAUAUUUCAAAACUGCUAAGAAGGUAGAUUUUAAAUGUUCUCACAAGAAAGAACUGAUAAGUAUGUGAGGUGAUGGAUAUGUUAGUCUGAUUUAAUCAUUCUACAAUGUAUACAUGUAUCAUAACAUUACAUUGUGCCUCACAAAUAUAUACAAUUAUUUGUCAAAUAAAAAUAAAAUAACAUUAAGAAAAAAGUCAAGAGCAACCAUCAUAUUUACUGGGGAAAAUUAGUUAGAUAUAACAAUAUACUGGACUUUUUCAUUACAUAGGCUUAUAAUUUUUUUUAAAAAAAAGAGUGGUAUAACACUUAAAAUGAAAUGGACACAUUUUAAGGAAGAAACUGAUAGUUGCCUACUCAAUAGUACUUUCUCCUUUUUCUUUUAUAACAAACUUCAGAUUUUCCCACAGACUCACAUUAAAAAAGUUAUUUCACAUGUAAUGUUAGCAAGGAUGUAAGGAAAUGGGUACUCCCCUGUUGAAGGGAAUAAAUUGGUAUAACCUCUUUGAAGGGCUAUUUUUUUCUGUCCUAUUAAAAUUUUAAAUGUGCAUACACAUUGAUCCAAAAAUUUUUCUUAUCCAAAUCCACCCUGGAGAUAUAUAUGUAUGCAUGUAGACAUAUAAGAAGAUGUUCACUGUGGCAUUGUCAUAGUGUAACUUGGAAACAAAUGUCCAUCAGAAAGAAAAUGGUUUAACAAACUAAAGUUUCAUACUUGUCACUCAUUCACAAAUAUUUAUUGAACACCAAUUAUGUGCCAUUCACUGUUCUAAGGCCUUGGGGAUGUAUUAGCAAACAAAUUCCGAAAAUAAACCUUUCAUUCUAGGGGAGGAAGACAGACAAUGAAGAAAUAAAUCUAUUACAUGUCAGGUAGUGAUAAAUAUAAAGAAAAAUAAAACAAGUUAAGGGGAAACAGAGAGGGAGAAUGAAUGGGAGGAUAUAGGAAUUGGAGAGGAACAUCAAGGAACUUCUGAUGAGGCUGUAUUUGAGUAGAGACUUGAAUAAAGUAAGGAAAUGAGGCAAGAAAAUAUUGAGGACUGGAGCUUCUCAGUCAAGGAGACAGGUGGGUUUGUGUUCCACGUGUUCCAGAAACAUCAAGACACAGCCAGUGUGAGCAGAAAGGAGUGGGUAAGGAGGAGGAUGCAAUGAGAGAUGAGGUGGCCAUACUCCAUAGAUGCCAUCAAGUAAGAAUUUGGGAUUUUAUUCUAAGUCUACUGGAUAACAUAUAGCUAUUAAAAUUAAUAAUGUAAGUAUAUAUGCCCUGAUAUAAAGAGCCUGCAGGACACACAGACUAACAAAUUUGCAGAACAAUACAUAGCUGUUAACACCUUUUAUAUUAAAA
rnacentral:lncRNA from 1 species